rnacentral:sRNA from 1 species
UUAAACCAAUUGACCGGUGAACCUGACUUUUAUUACGUUCAUAGCCGUCAUCUUUAAUAGGGGUGGGAAUUUUAACCAAACCGAACUGAUAACUCAAUGUAUUU